rnacentral:misc_RNA from 1 species
GUGAUCGUGUGGUUAAGCCCCAUGAAUCCUUGCCACAACUACAAUCAAGAGGAUUACAAUGGAGAGAAGCAACGAUGAUCCAAUUAUGUCAUCCAUCUCAUCUAUGCUUCCUUCUGUGACUCUCUCUUUCUCCCUUUCUGAAGGUUGGAAAAUCUCGUUCAUCAACUGCUGAAAUUUCUGGAUAAGAAGAGUAACUUGGGCUUUGGUGAUGUCCAUAAUCCAUCUCAACACACAGGUACCCACAUCCUGUUCUUCGGCACAGCUUGGUAUCCUACGGUUUACGCCUGGAUCGAUGAAUGACUCUCGCAGCUGCCGCACGACCUCGUUAUUCAUAACAGCAUCCCACACAGCUUUAUCAGAUGAUAGAGAUAUCACCAGUCUCUUAAUACUUGGCCCUGUUUGCAGCAAACGAAAAGCAUUCUCAACUCUUCCAUAUCCAUGAGAUAGCGAUUUUUUGAUAUCACCAUAUCCCAACGUUUUC